rnacentral:rRNA from 1 species
ACUCCUACGGGAGGCAGCAGUAGGGAAUCUUCCACAAUGGGCGCAAGCCUGAUGGAGCAACACCGCGUGAGUGAAGAAGGGUUUCGGCUCGUAAAGCUCUGUUGUUAAAGAAGAACACGUAUGAGAGUAACUGUUCAUACGUUGACGGUAUUUAACCAGAAAGUCACGGCUAACUACGUGCCAGCAGCCGCGGUAAUACGUAGGUGGCAAGCGUUAUCCGGAUUUAUUGGGCGUAAAGAGAGUGCAGGCGGUUUUCUAAGUCUGAUGUGAAAGCCUUCGGCUUAACCGGAGAAGUGCAUCGGAAACUGGAUAACUUGAGUGCAGAAGAGGGUAGUGGAACGUCCAUGUGUAGCGGUGGAAGUGCGUAGAUAU